GCUAAAAGUCCCUAUGGUUGAAACAACGCCCUUAUGCUGACAUAUAAUAAAUGAUAGAGUCAGAUUAUCCAUUGUAGAAAACCAACUGCAGAAUGGAAUGCCUGCCUCUCUGUUUUAUUCUCUCUCUCUCUAAACAAGAACCAUGUGUUUCUCCCUACAUCUUCAUGUUCUCAUAACACAGAGCACUGUUUGCUAACCUUCCCAACACUGACCAUCAGUGUCUCUCUGACUCAUGGGUCUUCUACAUACAAUGAUCCUGACUGUAAUGUGUUCUAUAUAACUGUUCAUCAGUACAUAAUGAGAAUGUAAUUGUAAAAGAGUCUCCCACAGGACAGAGGUCACUCGUAUCAAGGAACGCCCGGAUUUAAUUAGGCCGUUUAAUUCUCCUCUGCUAUGCCACAGAUGUUGUCAAGCAUGCCCAGACCUCCAUACAGGGCUUAUCAGGCCUCUCCGCACAUUCCACACAAUGUUAGCUGGAGACAAUGCUGUUACAAUGCAUGCAAUUAUGAGGACCUGCAUGACGACGACGAUCUAAUAGAAUCCAUCUGUGGAGGUGGCCAGGACAGUAAAGAGCUCUAAUAAGAUCUUGUCAGCCUCAGGAUGAGAGUGCUGUUAUCUCAAUGGCUGCAGACACCUUCAUCAGCCACACCGUCAUGAAGGAAGAGCUGUGCUUUCUUUUGUUGCUUGUUGCAUGCUUUGUUGCAUGCUGCUUUUAAUUCUCACUUUCUCUCACAAACAUUUAUCUGCUCCUUUCUCUCGUUCUCUGCAUGUAUUUCAGUGGUUCUCUAUCUUGUAACGAUGCCUCCAGAUGUUUCUAAUAAAACUAGUGUCAGGGAGGAGUGUUGCUGGCAGAUCUGCGCUUUUGUGAGCUGUUCUUCGACAUUUAGGGAAAAAUGCUUUAAGAGGACUGCAGGGCAGUAACUCAGCGCUCUUUGGGGAGGGGUGGACAGUUUGGCAUGGCUUUGAAAGGGGCCCAAGGAAAGGCACUCCUGCAUUUGUCUUUUUUCAUCACGCUCCAUGUUUCUGGUUUCUGUGGUCGUGAUACGAGUGAUCGUUCAGGAAAUGAGAGGGACCCAAAUCUUUUUCAAACUUGUCAUCGACGUUAGAGAUUUGCUC
ensembl:lncRNA